rnacentral:rRNA from 1 species
GGACGAACGCUGGCGGCGUGCUUAACACAUGCAAGUCGAGCGGUAAGGCCCUUUCGGGGGUACACGAGCGGCGAACGGGUGAGUAACACGUGGGUGACCUGCCCUCAGCUCUGGGAUAAGCCUGGGAAACUGGGUCUAAUACCGGAUAUGACUCCAUGACGCAUGUUGUGGGGUGAAAGCCUUGUGCGGCUGAGGAUGGGCCCCGCGGCCUAUCAGCUUUGUUGGUGGGGUNANGGGCCUACCAAGGCGACGACGGGUAGCCGGCCUGAGAGGGCGACCGGCCACA